rnacentral:lncRNA from 1 species
CGGGGCUUGGAACUUGGAACAAAGUUCAGACGUGGAGGGGCCGGCAGACAGCUUGGAAUUCAUACCAGAUGUACCCGGAAUGUGCAAGCGGAAUGCCUGGCAUCUCAGAGUCCUGAGGAAGCUGCCCAGCCACCCUGCCCGUACAUCCCUCCCCUCCUGCCUAUGGAACCUGUGCCUCCCACACCCUCACCUGGCUGAGCCGCAGUAGUUCUUCAGUGGCAAGCUUUAUGUCCUGACCCAGCUAAAGCUGCCAGUUGAAGAACUGUUGCCCUCUGCCCCUGGCUUCGAGGAGGAAGAGGAGCAGCUUCUUUGCCUAUCAUCUGGAAGGUGACAGAACUGGGGGUUGGGAAGGGCUGGACAGCAGGGGUGAUGGAUGGCUUUAGGGAAGGGAAACUCUGCUCUGGGGAGCCCUUACCCACACUGGCCCAGCAAAAGAUUCAGGUUAAAGGCCCUGACUAAAUUGGGGAAUAGGUGGCUCCACCUCUCCAAGGUUAGUUGAUCUCUGUGUGGCAAUGGGAAGAAAUGGAAGGAAAGUCUGUCUACCUGUUUAUCAAGACUUCCUUGUAGCCUGCCUUUCUUAUCUCCCCCCUCUCCAACUAUCACAUGAGGUCCAAAAGUCAGUGUGCUCAUGGGAAAGACGACACCAGAACUCUAAUCUAAGUAGUCAUCCGUGUGCUUGCCUUUCUCUGUAUUUGUUUUUAGAUUGGUCCAGAUUUUGGAUUUAGGGGUACUUACCUCUAUGGGAUCCUUAAACCUGUCCAUUUCUCUACCCGUGAAAUGGGGAAUCCCAUAGAUGAGUAGGCAGGAGGGCAUCAGAAGUCCACCUGCGCUGACUCAGAGCCUGGGCUCUUCCUGUGGGUGGAAACAAAACAGCUCUUCAUACAAAUUGUUGUCCCUCCUCCACCCCCUGACUACACACCCAGCUCUAGGGGAUUGGGGUGGAGGGAAAGAUUAAGAGCUAGUGGGAGGCUAGUCCUAUGCUGACUUCUCAUUAUACAAGGGUGACCCAAGGUUUCCCCUCCACCCAAAAUAAGGCUCCAGCUCCUGAUUGGGUCCUAGCAACCACUGCCAUUUAUUUUCUGCCUUUGCUUUCCAGGAUAGUGAGACUCAGCUCAGUGCUGUGCAGGCAAGAAAUUGUCUCCUCCAGCCAUCAGGGGAGAUGGGUUAUAUGAUUUGAGUCCCUUCUGCUGCCUCUAGCUCCUGAUUCAUUCUCAAGCUUGGGCUUGGGCUCUGAUUGUGGUUCAGUUUUGGCCCAGUCUCCCUAACAGAAGAUGGGUUCAGGGGCUAUAGGAAGCUGUUUGUUCUGCUUGGCAGGAAAAGGAGGAGGAGUUCUAGCCUAUUCUCCAUUUAUGAGAAACUGAAAGUCAUAGGGGAGAAUAGAUCACGUAACCCAGUCUUACUGCAGCCUGAGAUGAGGGGUAAGAUGUGUAAAGGGACUACAGCAGAGGGGGGUGGGGAGGCCGAGUCGCCUCAUACACUGCAACAAAGAUUGCUCUGUCCCGAGACAUUGCUUUCUUCCCCUCCUCACUUCACUGGCCACAGUGUGUCCCUCCAGCACUGGGUUCAUGGCUCUGCUAUCUUCAUCCAACAUGGAGCCUCAGAGGUGAGGAAGGGCAGCCUGGAAACACAGAGGCAGGCAGAAGACCAGUGAAGGACCUGGCCUGGAGCCACAGGGCCUAUCCCAGACAUUGGUCAGAGAGGCACAUAGAAGCCUGGAGAACACCAGGAAAGAGAGCAGCCAGCCUCAGUGAAAGACAAGCUUCCAGCCAUCUCCUCUCCAGCCCUACCUCCCUUGGAGAUGAAGAGCCAUAAUGAAGUAUGGUCCCAUUUCUUCUCUACCCUGCAGUUUCUAUGUAAGCAUCCUCAAGCAUGAGCCACCUCUGAAAGGAAAUACAGAGCAAAUUCAAAGAGAGAUUCAAAUGUGUAACGCUAUGGAAAAACAUAUUUUUGGCUGGGGCUGUAGCUCAGUUGAUAGAAUGCUUCACAUUCACAAAACCCCGGUUCUAGCUUGGACAUUGCCUAAAACUGGGUGUGGUGGCACAGGCCUGUAAUCACUGGAGGUGGUAACAAGAGGAGCCUACAUUCGAGGACAUCCUCUGCUACACAGUGUGUUCUGAGCCAUCCUGGACUACAUGAGACUCUUGUCUCAAAAAAAGAAAAAAGUUUUCUUUAGUAAUUAAAAGAAGGCAGACAUCGCUGAAAGCAAUUUUCCGUGAUCACGAUGUGACAAACAAAUGAAAGCCAAAAGAACACUCCCAUACAUUGUGGGCAGCAGGAUCAAACAUUGUAAGAGACAUCUUUUGGCCUUGUAAUUUUGUGUUCUAGUAAUGUAUCUUAAAAUCAAGAUUUGGUUAUAAAAUGUUCAUCCUAGGGUUACAAUAGAGAACAAUAGAAAGCAACUACUUGUUUGGAAAUCCAUUCCUCUUCUGUAAUGAAAGUUUGCAGUAGGGCAUUGCUUAAGUGAACCAUAUUCAUCCGGAUGGUGGAGUACUGCACAGCUGUCCAAAGCCAUGAAGAAAAAUGCUCUUUGAAUAUUAAAAAGAUUAUAAAAAGUAUGAGUUUUGUGACCUUAAUUUUGUUUUUUAAACAAUUUGUUUUUAAAAUAUGAGUGCAUACUUGUAAUACAUAGAUCUAAAAAAAAAUAAAGACUGAAAGUAGACUCAAAAUGUUAACAAUGGUUAUUUUUGGAUGGUGGGAUAGAGCAAUUGUGAAUUUCCCCCUUGUUUUUUCUGUCAUUCUAAGUUUUCUACAUUAAUUGUAUAUUGCUUUUAUAUGUUAAAUAAAUUGCAAAAGAUAAA